UCUCUCUCUCUCUCUCAAUCUCAAUGUUGAUUUAUGAAUUUGGGGAUUUAGUAAUUUGUGGAUUUUCAAUUCGAAUGUGAACCCUCGUUUAGGGAUUUGAGGAUUUUAGGGCUUAUAAAUUUGAAUGUGGACCCUGAGUUUGGGUUUUUCUGAUUUUACAAAUUGGGGAUUUUGAGAUUUUAGGAUUUUGGGAAUCUAAGAAUUUUUAGAAUUAGGGAGUUCAAGACCCUCAUAGAAGAGGAAAGGUGUUGUCUGGUGGGCAGCCAAUCGUAAAUUUUUUUGUUGAUCUACCUUUCAAAAGCUGAUUGCUUCCGUCCCCAGAAUUGCUGGGAGAAGGCUAAGAUGAGGAUGACGAUGAUGUUUAUGAGUGGGAUACAAGCAUAAGGUGGCUAGUGGCUGCAGCCUUGAUGCUACGCAUUCUGCCAUCUCAUGCACUGCUGCCAAAUAGGCUGUGUAGUUAUCUAUCUAGUCUUGUAAAACUAAUCCAGGCUUUCGGUUUCUGUGUUUACUGCGUGAUCAAUGGGCGGCAAAGGCAUUCAUUUGUGGGAAGAACCAUAGUUCUAAAACUCGCUGGCUUGACUCAAAACUCAGCUGAGUCAAUUUGCAAACUCAUGACCUCAAUAAGAUUAAAAAGAGUAGGGUGCUCGAUUCAUACUCCUGACCUCAAUGUGAUGAAGCGAGGUCCUCUACCACUCAGGGAAUUUAGGGACCAUGCUUCUGAUUAUCGUCCCAGCAAUCUGUCAAGAGAAAGGCAGUCCAUUUGGAGCUCCUGACGUCUGCCGUACAUAUCGACUGGCAUACACUUCACUGUCUAUGGAAAUUGGAGCCAUUUGUUUGUGGUCUUAUGUGUACAUCAUCAUACGAAUAUCGUUGAGUGAGAGCACUGCAGAAGUAGAGAAUGGCUUUGGCACAACAUCUCAGGGAUAUAUUACAAAGUUACUCCCAGAGAACUCCA